rnacentral:rRNA from 1 species
AGCAUAUAAUCAGCGG